GAUGAACGCUGGCGGCGUGCCUAAUACAUGCCAGUCGAGCGAACAGACGAGGAGCUUGCUCCUUCGACGUUAGCGGCGGACGGGUGAGUAACACGUAGGUAACCUACCUAUAAGACUGGGAUAACUUCGGGAAACCGGAGCUAAUACCGGAUAAUAUUUCGAACCGCAUGGUUCGAUAGUGAAAGAUGGCUUUGCUAUCACUUAUAGAUGGACCUGCGCCGUAUUAGCUAGUUGGUAAGGUAACGGCUUACCAAGGCAACGAUACGUAGCCGACCUGAGAGGGUGAUCGGCCACACUGGAACUGAGACACGGUCCAGACUCCUACGGGAGGCAGCAGUAGGGAAUCUUCCGCAAUGGGCGAAAGCCUGACGGAGCAACGCCGCGUGAGUGGUGAAGGUCUUCGGAUCGUAAAACUCUGUUAUUAGGGAAGAACAAACGUGUAAGUAACUGUGCACGUCUUGACGGUACCUAAUCAGAAAGCCACGGCUAACUACGUG
rnacentral:rRNA from 1 species